GAUGAACGCUGGCGGCGUGCCUAAUACAUGCAAGUCGAGCGAACAGACGAGGAGCUUGCUCCUCUGACGUUAGCGGCGGACGGGUGAGUAACACGUGGAUAACCUACCUAUAAGACUGGGAUAACUUCGGGAAACCGGAGCUAAUACCGGAUAAUAUAUUGAACCGCAUGGUUCAAUAGUGAAAGACGGUUUUGCUGUCACUUAUAGAUGGAUCCGCGGCGCAUUAGCUAGUUGGUAAGGUAACGGCUUACCAAGGCGACGAUGCGUAGCCGACCUGAGAGGGUGAUCGGCCACACUGGAACUGAGACACGGUCCAGACUCCUACGGGAGGCAGCAGUAGGGAAUCUUCCGCAAUGGGCGAAAGCCUGACGGAGCAACGCCGCGUGAGUGAUGAAGGUCUUCGGAUCGUAAAACUCUGUUAUUAGGGAAGAACAAAUGUGUAAGUAACUAUGCACGUCUUGACGGUACCUAAUCAGAAAGCCACGGCUAACUACGUG
rnacentral:rRNA from 1 species